rnacentral:lncRNA from 1 species
GAUUUAUUCUAGUGGGAAGACAAGACACAGAACUCUUGCAGGGAAACAGGGGACCAGAUAGUAGGUUGACAUUUGAACUAGGGGUUUAUAUAGCCCUUUGGUGAACACUGUUAGUCCAAAUUCAUGCUAAUCAGAGUUCUUUUUUUUUUUUUUUUUUUGGUACUGGGGAUUGAACUCAGGAUCAUUCAACCACUGAGCCACAUCCCCAUCUCUAAUUUUAUUUAAAGACAGGGUCUCACUGAGUUCCUUAUUGUCUUGCUGUUGCUGAGGCUGGCUUUGAACUCACAAUCCUCCUGUCUCAGCCUCCCAAGCCACUGGGAUUAAAGGCAAGUGCCACUGCUCCUGGCUUAAUCAGGUGUUAGAAAAUACCAAUGCUACUGGUUAGCCCUGGUCUGAACUUUCAGGUCUGCCCCCACUUCUAGUUUUCCUGAUGCUCAUGGGGGAAGUGGGAGGUUGAGGUCAGAGGAUCAUGGAUGCUCCAGGGUUCAGGUGGAUGGUGCUAUGUGGACUAGGUGUCCCUACCAGCCCAGGCUCAGCUAUUGAGGUGUGACAGGUCCACUCACUGUGGGGUGCCUCGGCCCUGGCUUGCCAUGCCUCAGGCCCACACUGGCAUGGUGGGCUCUGUGGGCCACAACCUGUGCUCACUGUCCAUACUCAAACCCACCUGGGCCACUGUUUCUGGGACUUGGCUUAGAUUCACUUUCCUUUCCCAGCACCACAUCACAUCAUCUCAAAACAGGACAAGCUGAAAAUACUGAGGCUUAUUUUUGAGCUCAGCUUCUUGGGGAAGAGACAACAAAAUCAAACUUCCACCAGGAGUUUGUUUUAAAAAGCAAAUUACCACACAAAAAAAGCAAAUUCCCAGAAAUAUUUAGAUGUUAGUUUUCAGUUAACCCCCCCACACCAGGCACUCCCACUGACAGUUGGAGGCAAGCAGAAUACUCACCAAAAAGCUGGCAGGCUUCAGAGACCCUGCUUCUCACAAGUAAUUACCGCACAAGGGUCUGCAAUGAGCACCUCUCCUCAGACCCUCUCCAUCACUCCAGCUUUCCGCAUUAACUAGAAAUGAGCAGCCAGGGCCCACAAGCAAGGCCACCCCAGAUGCCACAACCUGGGCCUGUGAAUGACACUGCACUCAUUCUGACAUGGGCCAGGCCAUUGCACCUGGGCUCUCCGCUCCUCCUCUGGCCCCAGCCACAAUGUCCCACCCCUCACGGCAUGUGCUGUCUUACACUGUGUCCCACCCAGGCCCCUUCCUGGCAUAGGGUGCCUGUCUCCCACGGGUGCCUGGUUUUCUGGUUGAAGCACAAAUGCUACUUCUU